GGUAGUGCAAAAGAGAAAUAAGGGGCUGGAGUCCCUUGGCAAAGCAGAUAAAUACCUGCAAACUACCUUUUCAAAAUGGAAGCCAGACUGUGACGGUGCCUUUUUUGAAUGUGGAAAAGCAGGGCUUCCAAGCAAGCUGGCAUGAUGUUGAAGGAGAUGCAGAAACAACCAGUCUGCGUGAUGUAUCGAGAAAACAGCACCCCUGACCCAGCAACCUCAGAAGUGGUGGAGCAAGCUGGAAAGCUCAUAGAAAAUGUAGAUCCAGAAAAGGCUGUACAAUUGUAUCAAUAAACAGCAAUGUGUUUGAAAAUGUGCAAUGCCUCAACAGGCAGUUGAACACUUAGGAAAAGCUUCAGGACUGCUAGUGUAAAGAUGCAGGAUUGAUGGGGGAGCACUUUCUAUUCAGAAAGAAAAAUAUUUUUAAGGAAAUGGAGAAUUAUUCAACUGGUUAUAAGAAAAGAGUCGCUCAAGUCUUAUUUCACUUACACAGUAAUGACUAUGCAGCUGGGACAGUGGUGGCAGGAGAGCUCCGGCAUAGCAGGAGUCCAUGGAGGUGAUGGCUGAGCUGUACUGGAUCAGCUCCCAGAAGGGUUUGCCCAGCAAGACCAAGCUGCAUUUCAGAGGUCUGCAACUCUCCACUUUUCAAGCAUAUUGGCAAUGAUUAUGCUAGCCCCAGCCUGAGUUUAGGGGUUCCAGAAUGGGACAUCAAUAAAUCAUCA
rnacentral:lncRNA from 1 species